CCUACGUGAGGCAGCAGUGAGGAAUAUUGGUCAAUGGACGUAAGUCUGAACCAGCCAAGUCGCGUGCAGGAAGACGGCUCUAUGAUUUGUAAACUUCUUUUGUACGGGGGUAAAGGUAGCUACGUGUAGAUGUUUGCAUGUACCGUAUGAAUAAGCAUCGGCUAACUCCGUGCCAGCAGCCGCGGUAAUACGGAGGAUGCGAGCGUUAUCCGGAUUUAUUGGGUUUAAAGGGUGCGUAGGCGGUUGUUUAAGUCAGCGGUGAAAUUUUGGGGCUCAACCACAGAAUUGCCUUUGAUACGGGUCGACUAGAGAGUGGUUGCGGUAGGCGGAAUGUAUGGUGUAGCGGUGAAAUGCAUAGAGAUCAUGCAGAACUCCGAUUGCGAAGGCAGCUUACCAAGCUACAUCUGACGUUGAAGCACGAAAGCGUGGGGAGCAAACAGGAUUAGAUACCCGAGUAGUC
rnacentral:rRNA from 1 species